rnacentral:rRNA from 1 species
CACGUAGGGGGCGAGCGUUGUCCGGAUUUAUUGGGCGUAAAGAGCUCGUAGGCGGCUCAGUAAGUCGGGUGUGAAAACUCCAGGCUCAACCUGGAGACGCCACCUGAUACUGCUGUGGCUAGAGUCCGGUAGGGGAGCAUGGAAUUCCUGGUGUAGCGGUGAAAUGCGCAGAGAUCAGGAGGAACACCCGUAGCGAAGGCGGCACUCUGGGCCGGUACUGACGCUGAGGAGCGAAAGCGUGGGGAGCAAACAGG